GAUGAACGCUGGCGGCGUGCCUAAUACAUGCAAGUCGAGCGAACAGACGAGGAGCUUGCUCCUCUAACGUUAGCGGCGGACGGGUGAGUAACACGUGGAUAACCUACCUAUAAGACUGGGAUAACUUCGGGAAACCGGAGCUAAUACCGGAUAAUAUAUUGAACCGCAUGGUUCAAUAGUGAAAGACGGUUUUGCUGUCACUUAUAGAUGGAUCCGCGCCGCAUUAGCUAGUUGGUAAGGUAACAGCUUACCAAGGCAACGAUGCGUAGCCGACCUGAGAGGGUGAUCGGCCACACUGGAACUGAGACACGGUCCAGACUCCUACGGGAGGCAGCAGUAGGGAAUCUUCUGCAAUGGGCGAAAGCCUGACGGAGCAACGCCGCGUGAGUGAUGAAGGUCUUCGGAUCGUAAAACUCUGUUAUUAGGGAAGAACAAAUGUGUAAGUAACUAUGCACGUCUUGACGGUACCUAAUCAGAAAGCCACGGCUAACUACGUG
rnacentral:rRNA from 1 species